rnacentral:rRNA from 1 species
GACGGAGGAUGCAAGCGUUAUCCGGAAUGAUUGGGCGUAAAGCGUCCGCAGGUGGCAGUUCAAGUCUGCUGUCAAAGACCGGGGCUUAACUUCGGAAAGGCAGUGGAAACUGAACAGCUAGAGUAUGGUAGGGGCAGAGGGAAUUCCUGGUGUAGCGGUGAAAUGCGUAGAGAUCAGGAAGACAUCGGUGGCGAAGGCGCUCUGCUGGACCAUAACUGACACUCAGGGACGAAAGCUAGGGGAGCGAAUGGG